rnacentral:rRNA from 1 species
GACGAACGCUGGCGGCGUGCCUAAUACAUGCAAGUUGAGCGCUGAAGGUUGGUACCUGUACCAACUGGAUGAGCAGCGAACGGGUGAGUAACGCGUGGGGAAUCUGCCUUUGAGCGGGGGACAACAUUUGGAAACGAAUGCUAAUACCGCAUAAAAACUUUAAACACAAGUUUUAAGUUUGAAAGAUGCAAUUGCAUCACUCAAAGAUGAUCCCGCGUUGUAUUAGCUAGUUAGUGAGGUAAAGGCUCACCAAGGCGAUGAUACAUAGCCGACCUGAGAGGGUGAUCGGCCACAUUGGGACUGAGACACGGCCCAAACUCCUACGGGAGGCAGCAGUAGGGAAUCUUCGGCAAUGGACGAAAGUCUGACCGAGCAACGCCGCGUGAGUGAAGAAGGUUUUCGGAUCGUAAAACUCUGUUGGUAGAGAAGAACGUUGGUGAGAGUGGAAAGCUCAUCAAGUGACGGUAACUACCCAGAAAGGGACGGCUAACUACGUG